rnacentral:lncRNA from 1 species
GUUUGAGUGCUAAGAUCUACGCUGUUGUGGCGGAUGUGAUCUUCCGACCGCAGUCCAAUCAUGAUGCCAAGACAUAUCUCGGCCUCAAUGCCAUUGUACCUAUACUAGUUAGUAUUUUAGUUGCACCAUUUCUUCGGGAGAUGGAGACCAAAAAUAAAGCAAGAUCAAGUUGUGGGUUCAUGGUGAUGUUUGCCAUAACACUGGCAACUGGAAUUUGUGCAGUUGUUGGCAGCAUUAGGCCUGAAUCAAGAGAGCAUGCAAUAAGCCUAGGAUUGCUUUUGACUGCGCCUUUGGUGGUCCCUUUGGCCAUGAAGUAUAGAGAAGGCAAAGAAGAGUUAUGGUGGAACAGGAGGGAGAGGAGAGUUCAUGAUAUUACUGUAGAUGAGGUUGAUACUAGAGAGAGUGUCAUGGAUCUUGAGAUGAGGGAAGUAGAGUCUGUAGAUGGGAAAGUAGAAGAGUCCGUGGAAGUUGGAGGCCUUCAACUGUUAAAGAAGGUGAACUUUUGGUUAUAUUUCUUCAGCUAUAUGUUUAGUGCUACAUUGGGUUUGGUCUUCUUGAACAACCUAGGACAGAUAGCCGAGUCCCGUGGAUUCUCAAAGACUACCACUCUGGUCUCCUUGUCUUCUUCUUUUGGUUUCUUUGGUCGUCUCAUGCCAUCUGUUCUGGACUACUCUUCAACAAAGUAAGCUUUCUACCUAAAUUGCCAUCUUUUCUUUUCUGCAUGCAUGAUUAGAUUGAUCAGUAAGAAUUUAUAGGAUUACCGACUCAAGUCCAAUUCCUUUUGUUUUUCUUUUCCAACCUUCUGAUAUAAUUUUCUUUUUCAAUUAGUUUGUUGAUAGCUUUUCUUCUUCUUCUUCUUUUCAAUGAUUAGGAAACGAUACAAAGGUCAUGGCUAAUUAUAAUUUUCUUCAAUUAGAACAAGAACAUGGCCCAUAACGAUUUCGUGCCUCUAGAUCCUACUCCAAUAUAAACUCUUAAAUGACUCGCUUAGUCAUUGUAUUCUACUGUUAUUUUUUAUUUUUCUGCAUGUCAGCCUAUUGCUUAUCAAAUUUAACAUCUCUCCUUUCAUUUAUUCAGAAGUGGGUACAUGGUGUCAAGGCCAGCAUUCAUGGCCACACUGAUGGCUCCAAUGGCAGGAGCCUUCUUCCUGCUGCUAAAUCCAAGCAGACUUUUCUUGUACCUCGGUACUACUAUUAUUGGAGGAUGCACUGGGGCAAUUACCUCUAUUGCCGUCUCAGCAACUCCUGAGCUAUUUGGCACCAAGCAUUUUGGCGUGAACCACAAUAUUGUUGUCACAAAUAUACCGGUAGGGUCGUUUCUCUUUGGUUACUUUGCUGCUUUUCUCUACCAGAGAGAAGCUGAAGGAAGCCAUAGCUGCAACGGGAUCAGAUGCUACGAGAAAACCUUUAUUAUAUGGGGUUCCACUUGCUCCGUUGCCACUCUCCUUUGUACAGUCCUCUAUGCCAGAACUCGAAAAUUUUGCUGAAAGACUGCUCAAAGAUCUGAUGACUCACAUAGAUUAAGUUGCUAUACAUGAUAUCCUAAUUCCUAUAGCACUUGAGCUCCACCAAAAUCUAUAGAUGCUCCUGCUUGUGCCCCCAUCCACAACAGUUUGCAAGUUGAUGGAGAUUUUUAACACAAGCUUAUGUACCACAUUGGUCUUUCUAUGAAGUUUGCUAGAUCAAUGUGAAUAUUCCUAAUUGUUUUUUGCGUGAAAUAAAUUCCUGAAAUAGUUACAGGGAUGAUCGGAAUCAAAAAUAUUAAUUUUACUGAUGCUGCAUGACAAAACAAGCAGGAACUCGCUUGGAAUUACCAGGCCAUUCUUUGCUCUUGGGCGACCGAUUUCUUCCUAUUAAAUCUACGCUAGAUUUCCUUGCCAACCAAGUUACAGGCAUCCAUCAUGUCCUCCUCCACUUUGGUGUCUAAAUAUUCGACCCAACUGAACAGAACUAUUAUUAAUGAGAGGCCAGCAGCUGAAAUUUUUAGGUGCGCACCUUUAUUGUUUCUUGUCCCUCGAGCAAUAAGUUUUUGCAGAUCGGUGGAUGAGCCAUGACUAUCUAUUGCUAAAACUGUUUACAGAGAAAGCAGAACAUCCAAUAGAUAUAAAGUCACACAACAGAAUCUGACUAAGAUAUGGCCAGCUAUAACUUCACUCUUGUUCUUAUUGCCAAAGCGCUCUUCGAAAUAACAGCACACAUUAGUUUCUGGAAUUCAGAAUCUAGUACCACCCCAUAAGGUUGGCAGGUAGUCUCAGGUCAUGAAGAUGUUCUUAAUUUGUUUUGUGGAAGUGCAAAAAUUGAAUCUUUUUCUUGAGAAAAGACUGAAUUGUUCAGGGAUAUGAAAAAAUUAGCCACUUCAUCUCUUCGCCGGUUUUUUUUUUCUGAUUUUGUUGGCUGCACUUAUGUGCGUUUUGUGUGAGACACCAUUGUAUAAAAAAAAAAAAAGCUAGUUUACAGGACUAUCUCCCUCUUUUCUGCACCUGGAUCUGUGUGAAGCUAAAGAUUCAUUGCAUGGGAAAUGGGUACUAGAGAAGUUACUUGAGAUUUUUCUGGUUUAAAUUAGCAGUCGUGUGGAUAGGUGGUCUGGAUUUAUUGCAAACGGUGCUUACAGUGGUGUGGUCCCUCUGGACUAAUGGCAGUUCAGUGUUUGACAGGCUUCAAGAACUACUACAUAUAUACUGGUUAGGCUAGUAUCUCUUAAAUUUAGAAUUUCUCUUAAUUCUUAAAAUGUCUAUUUUUUCCUGGUUCUGCUGAUUUCAUACCAUAAUAGCUUUUUGAAUAACAUUAAUUCGCCCCAUAUUUUUAACUUUUUCGCCGUAUUUUUCCCACGUCCAUUUCAUCCUCAAAAAUUAGCUCCCAAGCAAGGCUAGGCAUACUUAACAAAGUACCUUCUCUUCCAUCUACAACUAAUACAACCAUCCAGUCAAAACAACCAAGAAAGUUGGAAAAACUAACAUUUCAGUUCUAUUAUAAUAUAUAGCAAUCACAGAUUCAUGUCCACUGACGGUAGUAAAAGAAACUUGUUCCUGCAAGCAAACAAUGCUGGAGAUAUUGUCUAAUUAAUGAAUAUCCUCCACCCAUUUCGUUGAUUUGAUGUAAAUCCCACUUUGUUUAUUGAGAGGAUGUAGGCGAGAUGCCGUCCGACCUCCGUAGAUCAUCAAAGUAGCACCGCAUGCUUGAAAAAGUAGAUUCUAGCUUUAUCAUUAAAUCUACUUUUGGCCCUAUGGAGGACGUGCGUGGCGGUUCUUCGCCUAGUAAAUUUUGAAUAUUUAUAUAAAAUUAAAAAAAUUAGAUAAUAUUUUUUAGUUAGUAUUUUUUUGGAUAAAAUCUCUUGAAUUAUUACAAAUUGUACUUGAGCGGAUCCGGCUCAUAACCUAUGUAGACUAGAGAAUAUUGCAGUACAGAUCCAUUGAGACUAACCACGGGUCGAUCGUUGUGCUUUUGAUUAGACUUAAAUAAAUUUGAACCUUUAGCUUUUUAAGGAUGUCAGGUCUUAAAUGAUAGAAGUAUAUGAGGAUCCAUGCGGUGGUUAUUCAUUUGGUAGAUUUUGGAUACUUAUGCAGGAUCAAGUAAUCCAAAUAAUAUCUUGCAGCUCAUUUUUUUGGGCAAAGUUUUGGAUUAUUAUAAUUCUCCAAUCCAAUAUAUAUCUACUGAAUAAGAAUUUGUGCCUUGUUUUCUCUCCUCAUGGUAAGGUGAUAUUUGUAACCCCGGUAGUUCACAUAGUAGUUCUUUUCAGGAGAGAGAUCUAUCAGAUCUUGAAUCUUUCAGUUGCAAUUUUUGACUUCAUGGUAAAAGAUGGAUUAAAUGGAUGCAUCAAAAUAAAAAAUUCACAUAAAAAUGGCCAUUGUAACGCCUAGAAAGAUUUUUCAUCUCCUCAAUUCUAGCAUCUUGCCUUUGCUUCUCAUGGAAGCUGCCAUGUUGCCGUUUGCACGAAAAGGUCGAGAAAUCAUUGUAUCAUGAAAAGACACAUGAAGUGUUCCCCUGGUGAAAGCAUCCAAGCCAAAUCCAAAUAUGAGACUGAAUCAUGGAAUUCAACUAGACCUGGUCCUACAAAUUAAAUUCCCUGCCAGUGUCAUGCUGACGAGAUGAUGAUACCACUACCAUGAAUUUUUUGCCAAUUUGGCACUCGAUGUGCUGAAUUGGUGGGGGAAUGAAAUGGUCCUCCUGGUGGAUAAGUAAAAGUAAUCAGUCCAAAACAAAGUGCCUGAUAUUGACUUCAAUGACUCCACACUAGCUAGCCGGGCCUGCUUGGAUCUCCCUUGAAACUGAGAAAAGUUGAGCAAUAUAGGUAGCAUGCCUGCACUAAAUAGGAACAAUCGGCAAAGGUCAUGUGAGCAUAAUCAUGGCGGCACUUUCGGUGGAUUUUGCAACUAAAGCAGGAGAUCUAGCAAUGAGCGCCCAUGCACCCCCAUGUCAACCCAAAUCGUCUGCCCGAAGGAGACGAAACACUACCCAAGAUAGGGGUUGUGUCUUUUAAGUAAAGAAUUCACUUUCUUUCACACAAAUGCACAAUUGGAUCACCCACCAUGUAGAUCUCAAAUUAGUCGGAACUCUUCUAUUCAUUUGUCUGUAUAGAUCUCAAAGCGACCGAUAGGGGAUCCAAUAAUAUAUUUGCACAAAAGGAGAUGCAACCCCAACUCCAUUACUCAUGCAUGCCACUAUAAUCCAAACCGACCACCAUAUUUUGAAAGGCAUCCGUCUGAGGUGAUGGUUUACCAUGCUGGCGAGAAAUAAUAUGCAUAGAGCACCCUAUUUGGUACGUUCGGUUAUCUGUCCAAUGUGGCAUCUCAUGAUUGGCCCACAACCCAUGAAUUGUACCAAUUGUCUUGUGCCAUGUCAAAUAGGCAACUUAGCAAGUAAUGGAGUGGUGCUCGUUGCAUGCACAAUGGGCGUUAGAGUGAGGAGUGGUGGCUCUUCCAGAUGGAAUGGCGCGUAUUUGAGGUAAACCACCCUCUAUUUAGAACAAUAAUAGUGGAACCUAAAAAGAGGACAGAUUUAAGAGACAAGUGUUGUGUCUUAUUAAUUUUUCAUCAGCAUGACGUACUUCUCCUAAGUUGAUGUUAUGAUGAAAGAAAAAAAAUUAGUAACACGUUUGAAGUUGCGGGAUUUAGUGUGGAAAGUGGUGCUUGUUUUCCAAGUGCCUAUGUGCUCACUGCUCACGAGGAACCAUUUGAGAUUUGACUUGCGACUUGAAUGUUCCAUGGGAGCCCCACGCGCGCCCACGCGCGGUCGCGAGUGCGGCCUCAUAGGCCAAAAAAAAGCUCUUGCACCGGUGGUAUUGCUAUUUUUAUAGCACCUCUAUUCGUUGUCCCUGUUAUGGUUGCUUUAAUUUGUCAUCUUUCUAGUUUUUUUUUUUACUCGCUUAGGAAAAGAGGUAGGAGGGAGGAAGAAACCAGCCCAUCCACGGGUAGCAGCCCCCACUAGGCUCCCAUCCGGCCAGAAGAAUGUUCGAUACGGAUGGACACCGUUUUACUUACAUCCUCCCCAUCCGAAGGUGAAUACGUCAUACCUGGCACCACCAAGCUACAGGUGGAAGGAAAGCAUAAACGCCAACGAGCCAACCGAGCAUGGAACAUCCAGUCUCCGAAUUUAAUCGAACCCGGAUAACUCGGACGGAAUUAUUGCCUUCUUACCACCAGGCUAUCAUCUUGGUGGCUCAUCUUUCUAGUUUCGUUCACAUAGGCUAAAAUAGAUUUUUUUAUAAAUAAGAGGCAAAUAUAAAAAUUAUUUUCAUUGAUCAGUUAAUGAAUUUUUCUUACUUCUAGAUUGAAAAGUUCAAUACUAGCUAUGAGGUUUCCUCUUGCAAUUAAGCAAAUAAGUAUAAAAAGAAAGAUUUAGAUGUGCUAUUGAUGGACCGCGUCCUCCACUAUAUUCAUUGUCAUGGAUCCGUGCCCUGUGCAUAGCCAAAUAAAAGGAACCAAAAGAAAUAUUUGCAACAAAAACAUGAAUGGUUGGUCCCAAAUGCUGAGAGCCAAGUAUUCCAGGGAUCGCUGAGAGUAAUACAGUCGGAUUGGAUAACCUUGAACGUUUUGAUUACUGGUCCAUUGAAUUCGAAAGCUUUUCUGACGACAGGCAGGUCCCAUGGGAAGAUGGUGGCGGUGGCCUCCAUUGAUGCUGGCGUUCAAACCUAUGUAAGCGGCGUAUUAAAGUUGUACGGCUCAUGAGAAUUUCACAAGGACACGGCAGCGUCGUCUGUCGAUCUUACUUCCAUGUGACGUCGUACAAACGCACGGCACAGGUCAGAAGCCCAAGCACAGCCAGAGGCUUAGGGAGUUAGAGGGACACCUCUCCAGACGGUUGUUUUCGCCAAAUACGCCAGAAAGUGAUUAAAUUAACCUUGUCAGACAUGCAAUAAAUGUUAAAAUAGAAGAGCUAAUACUAAAUUUCAAAACGAUUAAAAAUGUUAGAUCCACAAGAUUUUGUGGCUACUUUUGUAAGUUGCACGCAUGAGGCUGAUGAUUUGCCAUGCGAGCAAGCAAGAGAAAAAGAAUGCAAUAAAGUUCCACAAAUUGAUAUGGCCCAUUGGUUACCCAUCUGAUAUGGCACCCCAUUAAUAACCUAUAUCCUCACGUAUGGAAUCAAUCUCCUUCUGCCAUGUUGAAUGGAUAACUAAUUAAGUAAUGUCAUGGCACUCUAAAAUGACUAGAGCUUGCAAACGUUUUCAGCAAUGCAGCCACAAGACCAUUAGGUGGGAUUCACUAAUUCUCUUAAAUCAUGCCUCAUGCAAGCUAGGCGAUCUGACUUUGGAUAUGAGAAUUUGGGAAGUGCACGCCAUAUAUUUCUUUGAGUUCAAGGAAAAAGAGCAUAUUUACACACUCACGCAUUAGUAUUUGAUAUGCUGGUGCCUUAUAAGUGGCUCAUGUUGGCUCCAUGCAAAGACCGACCAAUGAGUUGCACUCAACUCUAGAUAAUCAAGGGUUGCCAUAUAAAUAAUUGAACAAAAUCCUUAUUCUUUUUUCACUUUGUAUAAAAGAUAAAUCUACCUAACUGCAUGGGAACAUAAACAAGCAACAUGAAGUACAUGGGAGCGCUAUAUCUUGGACACCUCUCUCUUUCUCUCUCUAAUUACAAUCUUGAUUGGCUUUUUACCCCUCCAAAUUGAUCAGCAGCCCGAUUCUCUUCUCUUGGACCAUUUUUUUGUCUGAAUGUAUAAAACAAAGCUUAAGAUUGUUCCUAAGGAGCAAAAAAAACCCCAGAUGAUGAAAGUCUUGUGGUAGCACUGGGUUCCAAUGCAUGGACCAUAUCCCCCGCCACCUUCCUUGUCGUAGAUGAAUGCCGCAAUGUAGCCAAACAGCAAGGAUCCAAGAGGGAUGUUGGCAAUAAGAAUAUUGUGAUUCACACCAAAAUGCUCCGAGCCAAACAAUUCGGAGGUCACCGAGACAGCGAUGGAAGUCAUGGCCCCUGUGCACAUACCUAUGAUGGCUGUGCCGAUGAACAGGCAGGCUUUGGUGGGGUUAAGCAGCAAGAAGAAGGAAGCUGCCAUUGGGAUCAUCAACAACACCAUUGAUGCUGGCCUCGAAACCAUAUGCCUGCUGUUGUUAUAAGCAAGAACAGCAUAUCAAAAUAACAAGUAUUCUGCAAUCUACACAGAUGAAUCAAAAGUACUCAACUAAUCUAUAAAUGAUCUGAUGAUUGAUUAGAUUAUAAUAUAAAAAAUAAUCUAUUAUGGUGAUGGGGGGUGCGGCAUCGGACGUUCAUUCUCUCCCCUACAUAUAUACGUAUGUUUGUUUGUGGUGUCACUCUUGCUCGAUGUGAAGUGGACGUACACCCGGACAAGAAAGGUUUGACAAGGAUAGCAAGGAGAAGCAGCUGGAAGGUGGCAUCUUUGACGGGUUUUGCAUUUUUAUUAUUUUAUUAUUUCUUAGCUUAGUAGACGUACGUUGAAUCCUAAUGUCACAUGUCCUCCUGCAAGAUGCUAGAUCCAUACAUGGCUGUGAAAACUACUUAAAUAACCUGCACCAAGUGAAGGAUGGGUGUGCCCAAUAUUAAUACACGUACGUACUCCUGAGUUACGUACAAAUGUUUGUAAAUUCCUGCAAAUGUUUUCUUCUAUACAAUCUUACAAUACGAAACAAAGAACAGUAUUAGAAAGAUAUAUAAAGAAUUACCCUGAUCACAUCUAUUAUUAGUGGCACAUAAAAUGGCCUUCAUGAAAUGCGUCAUGCUUAACACAUGACGUGCAUUCAUGCUUCACACGAGGGCUCUUCUGUCUGCUACUUGUUAUGCAUAAUAUGGGAUGACCAAAAUCACAACCAGUAAUGAUAUAAAUCAUAUCUAUAUAUGAGAGUUAGCUAUUAUUGUUUGUAGUGUGUGUCUUUCUAAUGUAGGCAACAACAUCAAACUUGUGUUGUUCUUUGAUUUGUAUGGAAAACUUGUUUUCUGCUUCUAGGAAAUAUCAACUACUCCCUAUCACAAAGUACGUUAGAAUCCAAAAGAGUGCGUAGCUUCUUGCACUGAAUGCAAGACAUACGUCUAAUAUUAUCCAUAGAAUGCGGAAGGAUAGUUGACUAUGGAGCUUCCGAAUGACAUAUGUCACGCAUGCAGCGCAUGCAUGACCUCCACAAGUGUUGCCUCUACACUGUAACCAUGAUGUAUCCGGAACACCUAACUCAUUCCCUGUCCUUAUUCCUACAUCCUUAGCAUAUCCGCCAUAUAAGUUCCUGCCACAUCCCCUCUCGUUCCUAGGAAUAGUUCCGUACAUGAACGUCGGUUCGAGGAUUAUUGCCAUCAUUCACAAAAUUGUGAUCAACUGUAGAUAUGGAUAUGUAUUAAGUGCAGCAUAUCGCAUCCCGUAUAACGUAUUCAUACUGACCUGGAGAACGCGGACAAGGGAGCCGAGAACAAUUUCCCGAAGAAGCUAAAGGACGAGGAGAUGGAGACCAGCACGGUGUCGGAUAUCCCGCGAGACCGCGAUAUCUGACCCAAGUUGUUAGCGUAUACCAAUCCCAACGUACCCCCGCACCCGUACACCAGGAAAUACAACCAAAACUCCAUGCUUGCCACCAACUCCCGCACCCGAUAUUCUCUUCUCACCCAAGUUUCCCAUCUCUCCUCUUCUCCACACCCUGCACCACCUUCCCGAUCAACUUCCUUAUCCUCAACUUUUAUCACACUCUUCUCCACUCCUUCCCCUUCCCUUGCCAAACUCCAACUCCCUUCUUUUAUCCACUCUAUGACAUUCACCAAAGGCACAAAGAUUAUUAACAACACAACCAUGACCAAUAGAAUCAACGGCGGUAGCCUUCUCGGCAUGCUACCGAAGACCGGAGCCGCCGUCUCCACCACCGCAUAUGACCCUGUGACACCGGCGAUCACGAGUAUUGUCACAAGACCGGCGCGAGUCUUUGGACCGGCCGGCUUUGAUUCCUUGAGGAAUGGGGAAGUGAUUGCCCCUGUCAGGAUAGGCACAAUGGAGUUCAGUAGUAGGUAGAUGCUCUUGUCACUAGGGUCACCUCCCAGGAUCACUUGCGUCAUAGCUAUGUAGAUCUUGGCACUCAAAGCGGCAUAACUUGUGGCCAAACAGACGACAGUCCCAUGGUCCACCGGGAACUUCCUCAUGGCUGCGAUGUAACACACGGUGUUGAUCCAGCAAACGCUGUUCCCGGCGAGCACGCAGAGCAAGAAGGCUUGCCAGUAUGCGAGCGAUGCGAUCUUGCUGGCUAGGAAGAGGAAUUGGACACCGUAACCAACCGAACCGAUGAUUGCACCGAUCAUGAGGGCCAACCAUAGGGGAAGGUGGCGAGCUGCGACACCCGAGCACCACCCAAAGAGCUUACCGGCAUCGGAGGCAACGGUGAGGUAGUUGAGCUUCACCUGGGAGAUCUUGAGCCGGGACUUCAGCUGGGAGGAGUAGUCCGGGAAGACCGAAUUGGUGCCGUUGAUGGACUGGAGCCAGAUGAUGGACACCAAGGUUAGCCAUGGAAAUAGGAGGACUGGGAUCGAUGAGCUGCCCAUUUUCUCACUCUAUGACCUGUAUGAGAUGCUGCAGGCUUCUUGCUGUUACCUCAGCUUAUAGCUAGAAUCAAGACAUGGCACGAAAAGGUUGGAAGUGGGACUCUUGUUGAUACCUUUCUUUGUAGCUGCUAGAUAUAAGACCUGACAUGGAGGAAGGAAACUGAAGUGAAAGAUAGGACAAAAGGAGAUGAGGACUUUGGGCAGUUUUGUUCCGUUCUUAGCCGUGAUUGAAUGGUUUGGUCCGUUCUUAGCCGUGAUUAAAUGGUUUUGUUCCGUGAGGACAAGUUCUUUCAGCUACAAGAGAAAUAUUGGAGGAAAUAGAUGUAAGGGAGGUUUUGAUGUGUCAUGUUGCCCUAAUUUAAGGGUGGGAACAUAAGAAUGGGGAAAAAGAUGGUUCCCCAAUGGUUGGUUUGGGCCUGCCAAACCCUGGUGCGAUUCACGGAGCCCAGAAAAAGAUGGUUCACUCCCAUUGGCGGAUAGGGAUGAGGACCAUGCCAGGUAGGCUACGUGGCGGAUAAAGAUUUGUUGGUUUCUAUGUUAAUGUAUGGCUUGUGGCGUACCGAAGGCUCCGAGUUAAUUAAUGGUAGAGACUGGCACCGGAAACUUUGUAACGCUAACUGACGUGUGCAUGACACGGGCAUGAGCGUUUUUGACGGAACGGUGGGAAUAAUUAAUGAAUCACCGGCAGGCAUACUUGUGAUUAGAAAAUAUCAAUUAAUAUUACAAAUGUAAAUACAAGGGCUUGUUUAGCAUCGUAUGCUGCUUUUGUAUUUUUAUUUCUCUGUAAAUUUAUAAACUAUCAGGUGAAGAUUAAUGUUGAUAUAUAGAAUUUAUGCUAUUCCUUAUUUGCUACUUUCACUCCUUCCUAAAUCAAUAAAUCUAUGCUUACGAAUGCUUAAAAUUUUAUAAGUUAUUUAAAAAAUAAAAAUAUUUUAUUAUAUAUGCCAUUUAGUCUAUUUUUUGGGUUUUUAUGAAUAAAAAUAUAAAACAAAAUAAUUCCAAACAAGUAGUUUCCAUGGCAAUUUUUUUUAAUAAAAUUAUAUCCUACACCAUAUGCAUUAAAUAAUCUGAGAUAAGAUAUGAAUAGCAGCGAUCCAAGACGAGUACAUAAUUAAUAGAGCUCAUAAGAGUAGGAUGAGAUAGUUGGCAUGGUGUACCACGGGUAGACUCGGAAACAUAAGCACAUAAACUCCAAGGUUGUGUCGCUAAGUUGGUCCCACCAUGGAUCUAUCUUAUUGGAAGCAUUUAAAUAGAUAUUAUGGCAACGGCAAUCAAGGAUGAUUCACGAAGAAUCUAGAGAACAAUAGAAUAGGAAUUCUUGAUGCUGGUCAUUGUUUUAAGAUCUAAGCUAAAGUAAAAGGUUCUUCUUCUUUCUAAAAAUAAUGACCUGGCUUUUGAGCACAUAAAAUAGUCACUUGUUUCCUCGUCGAUUUUCUCUCUCCCUCUGUAUGGACAAUGAUCACAAGACACCCCGACCCAUUUAUUGAAUAUAUCAAUAUCCAUGAUUCAGGCCAAAUUGGGCCUGUCUAACCCAAAUCUGAUAACCCAAACCAUGGGUUUGGGUUAAGGCCUACUCUAACUUGCCCAAUUCUAUCCCACAUUUUUUUCUCGGAGUGAACCUACUUAGAAUUUGGCAAUAUUUUUUGUUCCAAUAAAGCCAAUUUUUACCCAAAGCUAGCUGAUGCAGCCAACUUGACCUAACCCAGUUGAAGCCAACCUAACUAACCAACUCUUACCCAAAGCUAAUCCAACUCGUCUGAGUUAUAUUCAGGUUAGAGAUGGAGUUGGAUUCAGUUUUAUUGGGUUGAUCAAGUUCUAAUACGGUUAGAUUAGGACUAGGUAGUUCUGAAAUUCGGCUGGAUAGGGGUUAGCCCACAACUUGGCUCGCUCUGCUCAAGUUGCACUUCUACUGCAAGUCUGACGAAAUCCAGAGCAUUAGUGAAAUUUAGACAAAAUGGAAGUGAUGGCCCUCAAUUCGCAGCAUAGCUUUAGGAAUGAUAAGAGGGAUAAUUUUGGCGUUCCAUAAUAUACUUCUUUCAAGUAUGAUUUUCGAUUUUAAAAUUUUUACAAUCCAAUUGAAUUUUGAUUUAAAUACUCCUUUUUACAUUUAUUUGCCGAUAAAAAUGUUUUUUUUAUAUAAUUUACUUGGGAUCUUUCACAGGAAUGGCUAAACAUUUAUAUAAUUUACUUGGGAUUUUUUUGUUGGAAUUAUUCCCAACAAUAUUAAUUUGCAGGGAAGUGCUAUGGUCUUUUGGAACCAGGAAUCAGAUAAGAUUUGGUCAGAUGGGAAGAGAGGCCCAUUAGAAAGUAAAAAGGUAAGAAUGUUUAUGAGGUCAUUAUCAUAAUCUAAUAAAAAAUAUUAACUUUGGCGAGUAAUGUGUCUCCUUCAAUAGGAAGAUUCAAUGAACUUAGUUUGAAUGAAGACAUAAAGGGCCAAACCAUCAAUAUGUCUAAUUCAUAAUGUGGCCCAUUAGGAAAGGAGAACAACUUAAUGAUUGUUUAGAAGAUUCUAGCUAUCAAAUAUGGCCAAUCAAUUGCUUAAUGAAGGAUUCAUUGAUGCAUACAAAUUGGCAGUUCUUUAUUUUUUUUCUAUAUUUCUGUAGUUUUCAUAAAUUUUUUAUUCAUUUUUCAAACAAUUCCAAAAAUUAAACAGAAAAAAAUGUCACAUAUUUCAAUAGGCAGUUAUCUCCUUUUAACCUUUUUUUGUUUUAGUGAAUAAAAAUAAAGUAACACUCAGUUUCUUGAAGUAAGAAAGUUAACACGUUACAUAUAUCAAUUUUGCCACUAUAGUGAGCAACCGUGGGCUGGAACAGAAGUCCUUUGGAUUUGGGCUGGGCUGAGCCCGAAUCAGCCUGAUACAGAUGUUGUCCCACCUCCUCACUUACAUGUUCGAGCCCACGAUCUCUGGAACCCAUUUAACUACACAGGAAAGCUGAUUUCAUGAAAUGGUCAGGAUUGGUCAGUAGUGAAAACUUUUUCUAUUCUAUGAGCCAUGAGAUAUAAUUUAAUUCAUUGAUAAAAUCAAUUAAGAAAUAUGUUUUACUUCAAAUUCACCUAGCCAACCCUCUUUGAUCACUCAUCAUUCAUCCAUAUAUUAAGAUGUGGUUGAAACUGGAGAGAGAGUCACAGAUCUUGAGGUGAGGGAAGUAGAGACUCUGGGAAAGUGGAAAGGUCCGUGGAAGUUGGAGUCUUUUAACUGUUAAAUAAGGUAAACUUUUAGUUGUAUUUCUUCAGCUAUAUGUUUAGUGCGACAUUGGAUCUGGUCUUCUUGAACAACCUGAGACAGAUAGCCGAGUAUCGUAGAUUCUCAAAGACUUCCACUCUAUUCUCCCUGUCUUCUUCUUUUAGUUUUUUUGGUCGUCUUAUGCCAUUCAUUUUGGACUACUCUUCAACAAAGUAAGCUCUCUAUUCAGAUCGCUACCUUUUUUUUUCUACAUGCAUGAUCAAAUUGAUUAGGAAAAAUUUAUAGGAUUAUCGACUCAAGUCCAAUUCCUUUUGUUUUUUUUUCUUCCAUUCUUCUGAUGUAAUUUUCUUUUUCAAUUAGCUUAUUGAUAGUUCUUCCUCUUCUUCUUUUUCGAUGAUUAGGAAAUGAUACAAAGCUCGUGGCUAAUUAUAAUUUUGAUCAAUUAGACCAUGAACAUGGCCAAUAAUGAUUUCGUGCCUCUGGAUCCUACUCCAAUAUAAACUCUUAAAUGACCUGCUUAAUCAUUGCAUUCUAAUGUUAUUUUUUAUCUUUCUGCAUGUCAGCCUAUUGUUUAUCCAUUUAACAUUUCUCCAAUCAUUUAUUCAAAAGUGAGUACAUGGUGUCAAGGCCGGCAUUCAUGGCCACACUGAUGGCUCCAAUGGCAGGAACUUUCUUCCUACUUCUAAAUCCAAGCAAGUGUUGUCGCCAUCGCUGUGUUUUUUUCUCUCUAAAAAAUAGAGUUCUUUGUUUUUGUGAAUAGUAAAAUCCGAUUUACUCUAUUUCGUGAAUAGUAAAAUCUGAUUUCUGUAUUGUUCUUUCUCUACCCCGUUGCUGCUUCUUCUUCCUCCAAUAUUUGGUAGCAGAGCAGUGUCUGAUCAUGGCUUCCCACAGAAACACAUUCAGCCUUUCACAACCCUAAAUUCCGAUUUUUAAAGAAGAGUGUUAUGAGUAUUGGAGCAUUAAGAUGAAGACUCUAUUCAGAUCCCAAGAUCUGUGGGACUUAGUAGAGAACGGGUACGCUGAUUCUGAUGAUUAAAACCGGUUGAAGGAGAACAGAAAAAAGGACUUCAAGGCACUAUUCUUCAUUCAGCAAGCCAUCGAUAAGUCAAUAUUCUCAAGGAUCGCAGGAGCCACUACAUCGAAGCAUGCAUAGACAACAUUGCAGAUGGAGUUCCAAGGGUCAUCAAUAGUAAUAGCUGUAAAACUUCAGACUCUAAGGCAUGAGUUUGAAACCUUGCUUAUGAGAAAGAAUGAAUCGGUGCAAGUUUUUAUGUCUAGAGUUAGUGUCAUUGUUAGUCAAAUACGAUCUUAUUGUGAAAAUCUUACAGAUCAAACUAUUGUUGAAACCAUGGGCUAGAACAAAAGUCUUUUGGAUUUGAGCUGGGCUGAACCUGAAUUAGUCUGAUGCUGAUGUUGUCCCACCUCCUUACUUACAUAUUCCAGCCCACGAUCACCGAAACCCAUUUAACUACACAAAAAAGCUGAUGUCAUGAAAUGGUUAGGAUUGGUGAGCAGCGGAAACUUUUUUUCUUAUGUGAGCCGUGAGAUAUAAUUUAAUUUCUUGAUAAAAUCAGUUAAUAAACAUGUUUUACUUCAGAUUCACCUAGCCAACCCUCUUUGAUCACUCAUCAUACAUCCAUAUAUUAAGAUGAGGUUGAAACUAGAGAGAGAGUCAUGGAUCUUGAGGUGAGGGAAGGAGAGACUGUAGAUGGGAAAGUAGAAGAGUCCGUGGAAGUUGGAGGCCAUAACAUUGGCAACUGGAAUUUGUGAAGUUGUUGGCGGCAUUAGGUCUCAAUCAAGAGAGCUUGCGAUAAGCCUAGGAAUGCUUUUGACUGCGCCUUUAGUGGUUCCUUUGGCCAUGAAGUGUAGAGAAGGCAGAGAAGAGUUAUGGUGGAACAGGAGGGAGAGGGGAGUAAAUGAUAUUACUGUAGAAGAGUUAUGGUGCACCACGGGUAGACCCGGAAACAUAAGCACAUAAACUCCAAAGGUUGUCACUGAUGGAUCCAUCUUAUUGGAUGAAAUAAAAGAUUAAGAAAAAAGCUCUUUGGCUGGUUUUCUGGUCUUGCUGCCAUUUUUCUACCCCUCUAUCUGGUUCCGGUGAUUGAUGCAACNNNNNNNNNNNNNNNNNNNNGAAGAGUUAUGGUGCACCACGGGUAGACCCGGAAACAUAAGCACAUAAACUCCAAAGGUUGUCACUGAUGGAUCCAUCUUAUUGGAUGAAAUAAAAGAUUAAGAAAAAAGCUCUUUGGCUGGUUUUCUGGUCUUGCUGCCAUUUUUCUACCCCUCUAUCUGGUUCCGGUGAUUGAUGCAACUUUUGGGCUGGUAAGCUAUGACGUGCAGUUUCUUUUCCUAGAGAACACUCAUCUUAGAAUCUUGCUGGCAUCUCUUUACACUCGCUGCCCUGGCUGGAAAUGGCAUAUGUUGGAAAUGACAUAUGUUUUCUAGGAUCCGGAUGGCGCCUACGAUUGCAUUUAUGGUGAGAUUAUAUGUGUGGUGUAAAACUCUUCGUCGUAAAUCUCUAUAAAUACAACUUUGCACCUACGAUUACAUGUGUGGCGAGACUUCAACAUACAUCGAACUUUCUUUUUCUAUCAAUCCUUGCUGCAAUAAGGAGUGGAGAGCCAGUGAAAAUAAAAUGCAAACCAAAGAGUUACUCUGGAAGGGCAGUCUUAGGAUCAACUUUCCAUGUACAUAGGAAGCUAAGGAAAACCCAUCUAAUUCAGAGUAUGUCAAAUGUGUAUUCUGUUUUUUCAAUGUAAAAUGGAUGGUUAUUCUUAUUCUUUGUUAUCUUUAUAGUGAUUCUAUUUUGAAUAAAUAAGAACUUUAAGAAGAAUUUCUUUGAUUCUUUCCAGUACUCGGCUACUAUCUAAGAUCUAUUCGAUGUAGAUGUUACAGACUGGUUGUUGGCAUGAAGAUCCUGUUUUGGCUGUUUGGUUAUUUAGUAAAUUCAUAGGCAAGCUGAAAUGCUUUUAUUUGUUUCCAUGCUCUAUUUCUGACUCUCUUUUUUCCUAAUUUCUAGUUAAAUAAAUGUAUUGAUUGCAGGGAUUAAAAGAUAUGGAAAACAGAAAAUAAGAAAACUCAUUUCACUUUUCGGGACUAAGAAAUUGCACGGCCAUUCGAAGGUAACUAAACUUAUUUAUCCUUUUUUUUGCAAAAUAUGGAAGAUCAUUACAUGUAAAAAAAAAUUGAUUAUUAGUAAUCAUCUUAUACAUCAAAGAACAUACUAAAAACAAUUGAUGAAAUAAAAGAUUAACAAGAAAGCUCUUUGACUGGUUUUCUAGUCUUGCUGCCAUUUUUCUACCCCUCUGGCUGGUUCCGGUGUUUAGUGCAACUUUUGGGCUGGUAGGCUAUGGCGUGCAGUUUCUCUUCCUAAAGAGCACUCAUCUUAGAAUCAUGCUGGCAUCGCUUUACACUUGCUGCUCUGGCUGGAAAUGGCAUAUGUUGGAUCAACGCUGCGUGCUACAUUAUCUGCAUCCAAAAUUUUCCUUCUGAUAGCCGUGUUGCAGUUGGGAUAUCCACAAGCUAUGUUGGUUUGAGUGCUAAGAUCUACGCUGUUGUGGCGGAUGUGAUCUUCCGACCGCAGUCCAAUUAUGAUGCCAAGACAUAUCUCGGCCUCAAUGCCAUUGUACCUAUAUUAGUUAGUAUUUUAGUUGCACCAUUUCUUUGGGAGAUGGAGAUAAAAAAUAAAGCAAGAUCAAGUUGUGGGUUCAUGGUGAUGUUUGCCAUAACACUGGCAACUGGAAUUUGUGCAGUUGUUGGCAGCAUUAGGCCUGAAUCAAGAGAAGAUGCGAUAAGCCUAGGACUGCUUUUGACUGCGCCUUUGGUGGUCCCUUUGGCCAUGAAGUAUAGAGAAGGCAAAGAAGAGUUAUGGUGGAACAGGAGGGAGAGGAGAGUUCAUGAUAUUACUGUAGAUGAGGUUGA